rnacentral:rRNA from 1 species
AUUGAACGCUGGCGGCAGGCCUAACACAUGCAAGUCGAGCGGAUGAAGGGAGCUUGCUCCUGGAUUCAGCGGCGGACGGGUGAGUAAUGCCUAGGAAUCUGCCUGGUAGUGGGGGAUAACGUCCGGAAACGGGCGCUAAUACCGCAUACGUCCUGAGGGAGAAAGUGGGGGAUCUUCGGACCUCACGCUAUCAGAUGAGCCUAGGUCGGAUUAGCUAGUUGGUGGGGUAAAGGCCUACCAAGGCGACGAUCCGUAACUGGUCUGAGAGGAUGAUCAGUCACACUGGAACUGAGACACGGUCCAGACUCCUACGGGAGGCAGCAGUGGGGAGUAUCGGACAAUGGGCGAAAGCCUGAUCCAGCCAUGCCGCGUGUGUGAAGAAGGUCUUCGGAUUGUAAAGCACUUUAAGUUGGGAGGAAGGGCAGUAAGUUAAUACCUUGCUGUUUUGACGUUACCAACAGAAUAAGCACCGGCUAACUUCGUG